rnacentral:other from 1 species
UAAGCCCUGCUGGGUGCGUGAUGUUUAAGAAUUUUGAGCCAGCACUUAGACAAUGGGAGCCAAAACGCUAACUGUUGGCGUGCAGGCCUUAAUCUUUUCAGGUAAGCCCAAAGCAGUUAGGAAGGCACCCACCUUACAUUUUGGGUUCAAAAAUCUCUAAACACACGGCCCAGCGGGGCUUGC